rnacentral:lncRNA from 1 species
CCAAUACCAAUCAGCUUGAAGCAAAAACUCGAUCCAGGGCGAUGGCAAUCUGUGUCAACGACCAAAAGGUAUAUUCUUUAAUUGUUCUUAGGAAGAUGUUGAAGAUUGUUUAUGAGAGUAUUAUAAGUCACUACAUUUGGUAUGCAAAAGUUUUGUUUCCCAAACGAAGUGACUUAUAAUAAUCUCAUGAAUGGAUUUUGCAACUCUUAAAGAGAAAAUUAUAAUUCUUUUGUUGGAUAGUUCUUCUUGUAGUUGCUUCUUGGUAUUAGGAUCUAGAGCAUUUUGUUGGAUGGUUAAUGUGAUAAUGGUAAGGUAGAGAAAACUUAAGUGAAAUGGAUUCUUGGUUUUAGUAUAUACUAUCAUCUCUUUGUGGGUUUGUCAUGCAGGAAUUCUCAGCCUUAUGGUCUGCUGUCUUCUUGGGUCAGGGAUUAGAGAAAUUGAAGGGAAACAACUAAAUAAAUCCCAUGCAUCUUCCACCUUACCAGCAUUGAACAUUGAAAGCUGUUAAAAUGGAAGAUGCUUGCGAUUUAUUUUGUAGUCUCUCCUUCUAAAGAGUGUUGCCUAUUGUUACAACAACAUACUGCAUCAAAAUGAGUCAGCUGGUUUGUCUAGGAACAGAUGCUUUAGAACCCGAGCAAGGUUUCAGGCGUCUCCCAUCCUAGUUCCUACCAUAUAUUGGAAGUUGGAACCCUAUGAUUCACUAUCCAUUUGUAUACCAAAACUUUGAAGUUGUAACUGUGUUCAUAUAUGUUCUAAUUCAGUCUUUACAUGUAUCUAUGGAAUAAGAUUGCUUUCCAC